rnacentral:rRNA from 1 species
CCUACGGGAGGCUGCAGUCGAGAAUCAUUCACAAUGGGGGAAACCCUGAUGGUGCGACGCCGCGUGGGGGAAUGAAGGUCUUCGGAUUGUAAACCCCUGUCAUGUGGGAGCAAAUUAAAAAGAUAGUACCACAAGAGGAAGAGACGGCUAACUCUGUGCCAGCAGCCGCGGUAAUACAGAGGUCUCAAGCGUUGUUCGGAAUCACUGGGCGUAAGGCGUGCGUAGGCUGUUUCGUAAGUCGUGUGUGAAAGGCGCGGGCUCAACCCGCGGACGGCACAUGAUACUGCGAGACUAGAGUAAUGGAGGGGGAACCGGAAUUCUCGGUGUAGCAGUGAAAUGCGUAGAUAUCGAGAGGAACACUCGUGGCGAAGGCGGGUUCCUGGACAUUAACUGACGCUGAGGCACGAAGGCCAGGGGAGCGAAAGGGAUUAAAUACCCGAGUAGUC